UAGAUCCUCAAAUUAUGCAAA
rnacentral:piRNA from 1 species